UCCCUGGUGGUCCAGUGGUUAGGACUCCACACUUGCACUGCAGGGAACACAGGUUCGAUCCCUGGUUGGGGAA
rnacentral:tRNA from 1 species